rnacentral:rRNA from 1 species
GUUAGGAAUAUUGGACAAUGGGCGCAAGCCUGAUCCAGCCAUGCCGCGUGAGUGAUGAAGGCCUUCGGGUUGUAAAGCUCUUUAGUCCACGAAUAUAAUGACUGUAGUGGAAGAAUAAGCCCCGGCUAACUUCGUGCCAGCAGCCGCGGUAAUACGAAGGGGGCGAGCGUUAUUCGGAAUCACUGGGCGUAAAGCGUGCGUAGGAUGUUUUGUAAGUCAGAAGUGAAAGCCCAGGGCUUAACCCUGGAAUUGCUUUUGAAACUACAAGACUAGAAUUCGGGAGAGGAUAGCGGAAUUGUCAGUGUAGCAGUGAAAUGCGAAGAUAUUGACAGGAACACCAGUGGCGCAAGCGGCUAUCUGGACCGAUAUUGACGCUGAGGCACGAAAGCGUGGGGAGCAAACAGGAUUAGAAACCCGAGUAGUCC